CCCGGCGUGGUGUAGUUGGGAGCAUGGCCGCCCUGACCUUCAUGAUUCUAUAUUCUUAGGAGUACUCGGCGCGGCUGGUCCAGGUUCGAUUCCUGGCGCUGGGG